rnacentral:lncRNA from 1 species
CACAGCAAUGUGGGAUCCGAGCCGCGUCUGCAGCCUACACCACAGCUCAUGGCAAUGCCGGAUCGUUCACCCACUGAGCAAGGGCAGGGACCGAACCGCAACCUCAUGGUUCCUAGUCGGAUUCGUUAACCACUGCGCCACGACGGGAACUCCGAAGUCCUCCUUUUUAAAGUACUUACAGUUCUGAACUUGCAGGCUGUGGCAUCAGUUAGAGGCAUGGCCCACGUCAAGUUCAGUGCAUGUAGAUCAUUGUUCUGUUCGAGUCGCUCUAAGACAGAAGCGAGGGAGGUCAGAGUGGGUAUCUGGCCGCCUGGCAGGAGGUAGAUGGACACAGAGGGGCAUGGUGUGGAGGUGGGAUGGGACCAUGAAGCUGCUUCCUGGGGCCCCAGAGCUAGACGGGAGGCCACCCUCCCUGCGAAGUUGGAUGGGAGUGGGACAGGCCUGGGAGAUGGCUGAUGCUAGGAUGAAGGCUAACAAGCCCGGCCUCUAUCUUCCAGCCCGGGAAGUGGGGCCAGGCAAGGGUCAGAGAGCUCAGUUAGGAGGUUGGCAACACAGUUCAUGACCAGAGGCUCCAGCACUGGUCCACGUCGGCCAGAGGGAGGAGAGGGAAGGCGAAGAGGCCAGGUUUGGGCGGAAAUGAAGGAAGGAACCACAAUUAAGAACCUCUGGGAAUGCCGAUAGCCGCGGGACGUGUAGUUCUCCUGUUUGAUUUGUCCCCAGAACAGACACACACAAAAGCCCUGUGCUGCCAGAAGACAGAGCGUCCCAUCAAGAAAAUGCAGGGGAAUGAAGAAAGGACAGGGAAACCCUCAGGAUGGUGUGUGUGUUCAGACCCCACAGCACCGAACUGCAGUGAGUCACAAAAACCCGGCACAAUGAAAUGAGGCCGCUGAGCUCACCUGAACAGAGCAGAACUGUCAUCCUUGGAAUGGCCAGGUCCGUCCUCACCUCUGUCUCCAGGGAGCACCCCAGGGACCGACGGGGACCUUCCAUCUCCAGCUCCCUCGGCCUCAGAUCUGCGCCUUCACCGAGGAUGCAGGUGGAGAAGGGAAAGCCGCCAGCUGGUAUUUUGGAAUUAACUAACCCGGAAGGAAAUGCCAUCUCUGCUGCAGCCUGCGAGGACUGGGGAGGUCUCCAGACGUCUUGAGCGAGUCAGGUCCUCAUGAUGGGCUUUCCUGUGCUCGCCUGGAAACCAGGACGCUCUUACCUGCCCGGGGCCCGGACUGCAGACCAGGUACAGUUAUGAACUUGAAUCAUGUUGAUUGAAACACGUCUUAACGAUAUUCGCUGUUGCUGCCUUGGUGGUGUUGACGUGCUGGCUGUUUCCCUUGUGUUGCUAGGAUUUGCGUGUCGUUGGUGGGCUUAUAAAUCACAUUUUCUUUAGGAUUAGCCUAUUGACUCAACACGUGUUUGCUGAAAGCCUACCGGGCGUCAGGCAGGGUUCUUGGAGCUGUGGACACGCGCCCCGUUCGAGGAGGCCAGGCCCUCGAGGAGCUUACAUUCGGGAGAGGGGAAGACAUGGUAAAUGAUGAACCUCCGGGGCCGGUGUGAUGGAUGCUGAGAAGAGAACUGAGUGGGGCCAGGGGACUGAGCAUGACUGUGUGGGUGCAGGGGAUGCCGUGUUCAAGGCUUGUCAGAAAACGUCUCUGUGAUGAGGUGAUUAAUUGCAGACCUGGAGCCAGUGAGGUUCCCAGGGGAGGAGCUGUGAUGUGAUGUGAUUGGCCAAACACACGUGAUUGAGGUACCUGCAGCUUGAGCUCCCAGUUACCCCUGCGGAUGCUGUGGCAUCCAAGGCUGCUCUGCAAAGAGUUUCUGUUAACUUUGGGGUGUGCCGUGUGGUCUCUUUGUUCUGAGGGCAUCAGACUCACUCUGG